rnacentral:rRNA from 1 species
AUUGAACGCUGGCGGCAUGCCUUACACAUGCAAGUCGAACGGUAACGCGGGGCAACCUGGCGACGAGUGGCGAACGGGUGAGUAAUGCAUCGGAACGUGCCCAGAAGUGGGGGAUAGCCCGGCGAAAGCCGGAUUAAUACCGCAUGAGACCUGAGGGUGAAAGCGGGGGAUCGCAAGACCUCGCGCUUUUGGAGCGGCCGAUGUCAGAUUAGCUAGUUGGUGGGGUAAAGGCCUACCAAGGCGACGAUCUGUAGCUGGUCUGAGAGGACGACCAGCCACACUGGGACUGAGACACGGCCCAGACUCCUACGGGAGGCAGCAGUGGGGAAUUUUGGACAAUGGGCGCAAGCCUGAUCCAGCCAUGCCGCGUGCGGGAAGAAGGCCUGCGGGUUGUAAACCGCUUUUGUCAGGGAAGAAACGCUCUGGGCUAAGACCCUGGGGUAAUGACGGUACCUGAAGAAUAAGCACCGGCUAACUACGU